CUGUGGGCGUCGCCCCCGAGCUCGGACCACGACCUUUCCACCCUCCGUGCCCGCUGUCGCUCCUCGUUGCCGGCCGCCAUCGAUCUUAGCGGCGGUGUCGACGCUUGCAUGGACGAUGCCCUCAAUGUGUUCGGUGAAAUGGGCACACGUGCAAGUGUUGGGAUGGUGACUAUCAUCCACGGGGGCUGGACAUCGAGGUUAUAUCGAGGCUGA
rnacentral:misc_RNA from 1 species